CUGUUUACUCUUCACUGUGUUUACUCAGGGUGUACUCUUCACUGUGUUUACUCUUCACUGUGUUUACUCUUCACUGUGUACCUUCACUCUUCACUGUGUUUACUCUUCACUGUGUUUACUCUUCACUGUGUUUACUCAGUUUACUCUUCACUGUGUUUACUCUUCACUGUGUUUACUCUUCACUGUGUUUACUCUUCACUGUGUUUACUCAGGGUUUACUCUUCACUGUGUUUACUCUUCACUGUGUUUACUCAGGGGUUACUCUUCACUGUGUUUACUCUUCACUGUGUUUACUCUUCACUGUGUUUACUCUUCACUGUGUUUACUCAGGGUUUACUUCACUGUGUUUACUCUUCACUGUGUUUACUCUUCACUGUGUU
ensembl:lncRNA